rnacentral:rRNA from 1 species
CUAGCUGUAAACGAUGGAUACUAGGCGUUGAGAGUAUCGACCCUCUCAGUGUCGUAGCUAACGCGUUAAGUAUCCCGCCUGGGGAGUACGCGCGCAAGCGUGAAACUCAAAGGAAUUGACGGGGGCCCGCACAAGCGGUGGAGUAUGUGGUUUAAUUCGAUGCAACGCGAAGAACCUUACCAGGGCUUGACAUGUCCGGAACCCUGCCCAAAGGCAGGGGUGCCUACGGGAACCGGAACACAGGUGGUGC